rnacentral:rRNA from 1 species
GUCCUAGCCGUAAACGAUGGGCACUAGGUGUGGGGAGGAAUUCUCUCCGUGCCGCAGCUAACGCAUUAAGUGCCCCGCCUGGGGAGUACGGCCGCAAGGCUAAAACUCAAAGGAAUUGACGGGGCCCGCACAAGCGGCGGAGCAUGCGGAUUAAUUCGAUGCAACGCGAAGAACCUUACCAAGGCUUGACAUAUACGAGAACGGGCGAGAGAUCGUCAACUCUUUGGACACUCGUAAACAGGUGGUGCAUGGUUGUCGU